rnacentral:rRNA from 1 species
GACGAACCGUGCAAACGUUAUUCGGAAUCACUGGGCUUAAAGGGCGCGUAGGCGGGCUCCCAAGUCGGUGGUGAAAUCUUUCGGCCCAACCGGAAAAGUGCCGCCGAUACUGGGAGUCUCGAGGGAGGUAGGGGUCGAUGGAACUUCCGGUGGAGCGGUGAAAUGCGUAGAUAUCGGAAGGAACGCCGGUGGCGAAAGCGAUCGACUGGACCUCUUCUGACGCUGAGGCGCGAAAGCCAGGGGAGCAAACGGG